UACGUAGGCAGCAAGCGUUGUUCGGAAUUACUGGGCGUAAAGAGUGUGUAGGCGGUGCUCUAAGUCUGUCGUGAAAUCUCCCGGCUUAACUGGGAGGGUGCGGCGGAUACUGGUGGGCUUGAAUCCGGGAGAGGGAUGCGGAAUUCCAGGUGUAGCGGUGAAAUGCGUAGAUAUCUGGAGGAACACCGGUGGCGAAGGCGGCAUCCUGGACCGGCAUUGACGGCUGAGGCGCGAAAGCCAGGGGGAGCAAAACGGG
rnacentral:rRNA from 1 species